GCGUGCCUAAUACAUGCAAGUCGAGCCGAGCGGAACUAACAGAUUUACUUCGGUAAUGACGUUAGGAAAGCGAGCGCGGAUGGGUGAGUAACACGUGGGGAACCUGCCCCAUAGUCUGGGAUACCACUUGGAAACAGGUGCUAAUACCGGAUAAGAAAGCAGAUCGCAUGAUCAGCUUUUAAAAGGCGGCGUAAGCUGUCGCUAUGGGAUGGCCCCGCGGUGCAUUAGCUAGUUGGUAAGGUAAAGGCUUACCAAGGCGAUGAUGCAUAGCCGAGUUGAGAGACUGAUCGGCCACAUUGGGACUGAACACGGCCCAAACUCCUACGGGAGGCAGCAGUAGGGAAUCUUCCACAAUGGACGCAAGUCUGAUGGAGCAACGCCGCGUGAGUGAAGAAGGUUUUCGGAUCGUAAAGCUCUGUUGUUGGUGAAGAAGGAUAGAGGUAGUAACUGGCCUUUAUUUGACGGUAAUCAACCAGAAAGUCACGGCUAACUACGUGCCAGCAGCCGCGGUAAUACGUAGGUGGCAAGCGUUGUCCGGAUUUAUUGGGCGUAAAGCGAGCGCAGGCGGAAGAAUAAGUCUGAUGUGAAAGCCCUCGGCUUAACCGAGGAACUGCAUCGGAAACUGUUUUUCUUGAGUGCGAGAAGAGGAGAGUGGAACUCCAUGUGUAGCGGUGGAAUGCGUAGAUAUAUGGAAGAACACCAGUGGCGAAGGCGGCUCUUGGUCUGCAACUGACGCUGAGGCUCGAAAGCAUGGGUAGCGAACAGGAUUAGAUACCCUGGUAGUCCAUGCCGUAAACGAUGAGUGCUAAGUGUUGGGAGGUUUCCGCCUCUCAGUGCUGCAGCUAACGCAUUAAGCACUCCGCCUGGGGAGUACGACCGCAGGUUGAAACUCAAAGGAAUUGACGGGGGCCCGCACAAGCGGUGGAGCAUGUGGUUUAAUUCGAAGCAACGGAAGAACCUUACCAGGUCUUGACAUCUAGUGCCAUUUGUAGAGAUACAAAGUUCCCUUCGGGGACGCUAAGACAGGUGGUGCAUGGCUGUCGUCAGCUCGUGUCGU
rnacentral:rRNA from 1 species